UAAUACGAUGAGCUUGAUGUAAGCGAC
rnacentral:sRNA from 1 species